rnacentral:lncRNA from 1 species
CAAAUAUUCAAUCCAACGACCAUGCCUAGAGCUCAAUCUUUUCUGGGAGUUGAGAUAACAGAGGGCCUCGUGGUCCGAAUAAAAAACAAACUCUUGAGGCAACAAAUAGUGGCGCUAAUAGGACAAAGCCCAGACAACUAUAUACAAUUCCUUAUCAUAAGUUGAGUACCAUUGUUUGCCUCAUUUAACUUCUCACUGAAGUAAGCAAUAGGGUGACAAUCCUGACUCAAGACUCCUCCUAUACCUACCUCGGAAGCAUCACACUCGACCUUAAAAAAUUUUGGAAAAAUCGGGAAGACGCAUGAUAGGAGCCUCUGUCAUUCGCUUCUUGACCAACUUAAAGGCCUUAGCCGCUUCUUGUGUCAAAUGAAACUCCCAUUUUUUCAUGCACUCCGUAAGAGGCACCAUAAUGGUGCUAAACCCCUUGAUAAAGCGACGAUAAAACGUAGCUAAACCGUAAAAGCUCCUGACGUCAUGAAUAGUCUUAGGUUCAGGCCAAUCAAGAAUCGCUUGAAUCUUGACAGGGUCAGUAGAUACUCCUGUCGAAGAGACAAGGAAUCCUAGGAAAACGACUGUAUCGGUGAAGAAAGAGCACUUCUUAACGUUAGCAUACAGAUUAGUUGCACAUAGGGUAGAACAAACUUGUAUGAGAUGAUCAUGGUGUUGCUCCUUAGUCUUACUAUAGAUGAGAAUAUCAUCAAAGUAGACAACAAGAAACUUACCCAUAAAAGGUGGAACAGUUUGUGUCAUUACUCGCAUAAAGGUACUCGGCACGUUGCUUAACCCAAAAGGCAUGACCAGCCAUUCAUAAAGACCGUCUUUCGUUUUAAAGGCGGUCUUCCACUCAUCACCUGGGCGGAUUCUAAUUUGAUGGUAUCCACUCUUCAGAUCAAUCUUCGAAAAAAUUGUAGCACCAACCAUCAUAUCUAGCAUACCGUUAAGUCUAGGAAUGGGAAAACGAUACUUCACCGUGAUCCUAUUGAUGGCACGACUAUCCACACACAUUCUCCAAAAACCAUCCUUCUUAGGGGUCAAUAGGGCAGGAACUGCACAAGGGCUUAAACUCUUACGAAUGAGCCCCUUGUGAAGGAGUUCAUCUACUUGCCUCUGGAGUUCAGCGUGCUAGGUAGGAUUCAUCCUAUAAUGAGGCAAAUUUGGAAGGGAUUCUCUCGGGAUGAAAUCUAUAGCAUGCUGAAUGUCCCGCAUGAGAGGUAAUUCGUCAGGUAGGUCCUCCGGGAAUAUGCCCCGAAACUCUUGAAGAAAUGAGGGAACUUCAGUAGGGCUCUCUAUUGCGGAGUUCAAUGGAACCUCCAUAACGAUAACAAUGAACACCAUAGAGUCACUAACAAGUGAGCGCUCAAACUCCGUAGGGCUAAUGAUAUGCAACCCCUUUCGUUCCACACUUUUCUUU